rnacentral:rRNA from 1 species
UACAGAGGGGGCAAGCGUUGUUCGGAAUUACUGGGCGUAAAGGGCGCGUAGGCGGCCCGCUAAGUCGAACGUGAAAUCCCCAGGCUCAACCUGGGAACUGCGUCCGAUACUGGCAGGCUUGAAUCCGGGAGAGGGAUGUGGAAUUCCAGGUGUAGCGGUGAAAUGCGUAGAGAUGUGGAGGAACACCGAUGGCGAAGGCAGCCUCCUGGGCCAAUACUGACGCUCAUGCACGAAAGCGUGGGGAGCAAACAGG